rnacentral:rRNA from 1 species
AUGGAGGAGCGUCUCUGGUGGCGUCGUCGGGCCGUUAACGUGGAGGACGGAGCGACGGAGUAUGACCUCCAUCUGCUGCUCGUACUCAUCGUUAGUCACGACGUAGACCGCACCCCACGUCGCCGACUGUUGUGGCGGCGGCUGGUCCUCGUCACCAAGGAGAUGACUAUCCCCUCCUUCGUCGAGGAGUCGGCCGCUAAUGAAGACGACGUCGCCACAAACAUCCGGAGCACGUCCCGGAGUCGCCGCCUUCCGGCACCGAGGCCCACGACUUGCCCAUCGCCGGAGUUGUGGAGGAAGAGGGGUGGUGAGGACGAGGAUGUGCAGAGCGACGCGGUGAGUGCGAUGUAG